rnacentral:rRNA from 1 species
CCUACGGGAGGCAGCAGUAGGGAAUAUUGGACAAUGGGGGCAACCCUGAUCCAGCAAUGCAGCGUGAGUGACGAAGGCCUUAGGGUUGUAAAACUCUUUCAUCGGUGAGGAUAAUGACAGUAGCCGAAGAAGAAGGACCGGCUAAUUCCGUGCCAGCAGCCGCGGUAAUACGGAAGGUCCUAGCGUUGUUCGGAAUUACUGGGCGUAAAGCGCAUGUAGGCGGAACAGAAAGUUAGAAGUGAAAUCCCUGGGCUCAACCUAGGAAUUGCUUUUAAAACUUCUGUUCUGGAAUUCAGGAGAGGAAAAUGGAAUUUCCAGUGUAGAGGUGAAAUUCGUAGAUAUUGGAAGGAACACCAGUGGCGAAGGCGAUUUUCUGGACUGAUAUUGACGCUGAGAUGCGAAGGCAUGGGUAGCAAACGGGAUUAGAUACCCUAGUAGUC